GCUCCUGCAGUUUGCUUAAGCGAGACGAGUCGCGAAGAUUUAUAAUUUUCGCAUCGUUAUCGAAGUGAUGAGUAAUCAUUAUUCCCAACACCAAGGCUGGUAGAGGGGUGCUUAAGUAAAGCGCUGGAGUACACGAGCGGCGGACGGCUGAGUAACGCGUACGAACGUACCCCAAACUGAGGGAUAAGCACCAGAAAUGGUGUCUAAUACCGCAUGUGCUCUAAGGAGUAAAGCUUCGGCGGUUUGGGAACGGCCUGCGUACGAUUAGAUAGUUGGUAAGGUAAUGGCUUACCAAGUCAGUGAUCGUUAGCUGGUCUGAGAGGAUGAUCAGCCAGACUGGGACUGAGAACGGCCCAGACUCCUACGGGAGGCAGCAGUAGGGAAUUUUCCACAAUGGGCGAAAGCCUGAUGGAGCAACGCCGCGUGCAGGAUGAAGGCCUUCGGGUCGUAAACUGCUUUUAUAUGUGACGAAUAUGACGGUAGCAUAUGAAUAAGGAUCGGCUAACUCCGUGCCAGCAGCCGCGGUCAUACGGAGGAUCCAAGCGUUAUCCGGAAUUACUGGGCGUAAAGAGUUGCGUAAGUGGCACAGUGUGUCUGUAUUGAAAUCGUGUGGCUCAACCAUAUAUACAUUACAGAAACUGCUCAGCUAGAGGGCGAGAGAGGUUACUAGAAUUCCUUGUGUAGGAGUGAAAUCCGUAGAUAUAAGGAGGAAUACCGAUGGCGUAGGCAGGUAACUGGCUCGUCCCUGACACUAAAGCACGAAAGCGUGGGGAGCAAACGGGAUUAGAUACCCCGGUAGUCCACGCCGUAAACGAUGGAUGCUAGCUGUU
rnacentral:rRNA from 1 species